UGCCUAACACAUGCAAGUCGAACGGAAUACUAAUUAAGAGAAUCUCACACUAGUGAGAGGUUCUCACGAGUAGUAUUUAGUGGCGGACGGGUGAGUAACACGUUGGAACCUGCCCCGAAGUGGGGAAUAACUGCUCGAAAGAGUAGCUAAUACCCCAUAGUAUCCGGUUUAUCCGGAUUAAAGAUUUUAUCGCUUCGGGAGGGGCCUGCGUCUGAUUAGCUAGUUGGUGAGGUAAAAAGCUCACCAAGGCGACGAUCAGUAGCUGGUUCGAGAGGAUGACCAGCCACACUGGGACUGAGAUACGGCCCAGACUCCUACGGGAGGCAGCAGUGAGGAAUCUUCCACAAUGGACGAAAGUCUGAUGGAGCAAUACCGCGUGCAGGAAGACGCUUUUCGGAGUGUAAACUGCUUUUGUCGUCGAAGAUUAUGACUGUAGACGAAGAAUAAGGACCGGCUAACUACGUG
rnacentral:rRNA from 1 species